AGAGUUGAUCCUGGCUCAAUUGAACUCGGCGCAUGCCUUACCUGCAGUCAACGUAACGGUCUUCGAUGCUGACAGUGGCAACGGGUGAGUAAUACAUCGGAACGUGCCCGAGAGUGGGGGACUCAUUCGAAGCGAAAGCUUUGCUAAUACCGCAUACGAUCUCAGGAUGAAAGCAGGGGACCGCAAGGCCUUGCGCUCACGGAGCGGCCGAUGGCAGAUUAGGUAGUUGGUGGGAUAAAAGCUUACCAAGCCGACGAUCUGUAGCUGGUCUGAGAGNACGACCAGCCACACUGGGACUGAGACACGGCCCAGACUCCUACGGGAGGCAGCAGUGGGGAAUUUUGGACAAUGGGCGCAAGCCUGAUCCAGCCAUGCCGCGUGCAGGAUGAAGGCCUUCGGGUUGUAAACUGCUUUUGUACGGAACGAAAAGACUCCUUCUAAUAAAGGGGGUCCAUGACGGUACCGUAAGAAUAAGCACCGGCUAACUACGUGCCAGCAGCCGCGGUAAUACGUAGGGUGCGAGCGUUAAUCGGAAUUACUGGGCGUAAAGCGUGCGCAGGCGGUGAUGUAAGACAGAUGUGAAAUCCCCGGGCUCAACCUGGGAACUGCAUUUGUGACUGCAUCGCUGGAGUGCGGCAGAGGGGGAUGGAAUUCCGCGUGUAGCAGUGAAAUGCGUAGAUAUGCGGAGGAACACCGAUGGCGAAGGCAAUCCCCUGGGCCUGCACUGACGCUCAUGCACGAAAGCGUGGGGAGCAAACAGGAUUAGAUACCCNUGGUAGUCCACGCCCUAAACGAUGUCAACUGGUUGUUGGGUCUUCACUGACGCUCAUGCACAAAGNCGUGGGGAGCAAACAGGAUUAGAUACCCUGGUAGUCCACGACCCUAAACGAUGUCAACUGGUUGUUGGGUCUUCACUGACUCAAGUAACGAAAGCUAACGCGCGAAGUUUACCGCCUGGGGAGUACGGCCGCAAGUUNGAACUCAAAGGAAUUACGGGGACCCGCACNAGCGGGGGAAGAAGGGGUUAAUUNGAUGCAACGCGNAAAACCUUACCCCACCUUUGACAUGUACGGAAUCCUUUUAGAGAUAGAGGAGUGCUCGAAAGAGGAGCCGUAACACCAGGUGCUGCAUGGGGCUGUCGUCAGCUCGUGUCGUGAGAUGUUGGGUUAAGUCCCGCAACGAGCGCAACCCUUGCCAUUAGUUGCUACGAAAGGGCACUCUAAUGGGACUGCCGGUGACAAACCGGAGGAAGGUGGGGAUGACGUCAAGUCCUCAUGGCCACUAUAUAGGUGGGGCUACACAUGUCAUACAAUGGCUGGUACAGAGGGUUGCCAACCCGCGAGGGGGAGCCAAUCCCACAAAGCCAGUCGUAGUCCGGAUCGCAGUCUGCAACUCGACUGCGUGAAGUCGGAAUCGCUAGUAAUCGUGGAUCAGAAUGUCACGGUGAAUACGUUCCCGGGUCUGUUACACACCGUCCGGUCACACCA
rnacentral:rRNA from 1 species